GACGAAGGGGGCUAGCGUUGUUCGGAAUUACUGGGCGUAAAGCGAGUGUAGGUGGUUGUCAUAGUCAGGCGUGAAAGCCUUGAGCUCAACUCAAGAAAUGCGCUUGAUACUGGGCGGCUAGAGGACCGGAGAGGAUAGUGGAAUUCCCAGUGUAGUGGUGAAAUACGUAGAGAUUGGGAAGAGCACCAGUGGCGAAGGCGGCUAUCUGGACGGUUUCUGACACUAAGACUCGAAAGCGUGGGGAGCAAACAGG
rnacentral:rRNA from 1 species